rnacentral:rRNA from 1 species
AUGCCGGUCCAGCACCUUGACCCCCUCGUCCUUGGCGCCGCAGCCGGACAGGUCGUUGCGCCAGUCGGAGAUCCGGCGCGUGAACUCGGCGACCGUGCGCCCCUUGUACGGCGCCACCGUCUCGUCGGCGCGCUGGUACAGCAGCAUCCUGAUCACCGCGUCCUGCCCGGCCUCCACCGCCAGGACGCUCGCGUGGAGGCGCUUGGAGGCGUAGCCCAUGAGGUUGGGGCUGAUGCCGACGGCGGCGGCGGCGGUGACGUGGGGGAGGAUGUAGGAGGCGAGCAAGAAGUUGACGGUGCUGUUGUAGGCGUCGAAGGGCGGGUCGAGGCGCGCCCCCAGGGCGUCGUCCAUGAUGGCGGCGAAGCGGUCGGCGCUGAGGUCGAUGGCCGGGCGCGGGAACCCGCCGUUGGCCUGCGUGAUGGCCCUGAUGUGGCCCACCUCCUGGUACCCGAGCUCGGCGGCGAUCUCGGUGGUGCGGAAGUCGAGGCUGGCCUUGCGCGCGCCGACGGGGGCCGGGCCACCCGCCGAGAGGUUGCGGUCGAGGUAGUCGAUGCCGCGGCCCAGCGCGGCGUGGAGGAACCACUCCGCCUCCACGAACUUGGGGUUGAGCAGGAACUGCAGCUGCUCCAUGUCGCUCGGGUACACCGCGACGGCGCCCCGCCGCGGGAGGCUCGGCCGGCACCGCGGGUCGUCCGUCUGCGUGACUGUGACGGUCGCAGCGAGCGCGACGACCUGCAGGCCGGCGGCCAGCAGCUGCAGCAGGAAUGCGCCGUGCGCGCGAGCCAUGGCCAGGGAGGACGGAGCGCCUGUCGUGCCGUACUGGUGAGAGCUCGCGUGCUCGGCUCUGCUCUGCUCUGCUCGUGCUUGUUUGUGUAUUUGUGGUGUGGGCUGGGGGUCUGGUAA